UACAGAGGGUGCAAGCGUUGUCCGGAAUCACUGGGCGUAAAGGGCGCGUAGGCGGCCACCGCAAGUCGACUGUGAAAUCUCCGGGCUUAACCCGGAAAGGUCAGCCGAUACUGCGGGCUAGAGUGCAGAAGGGGCAACUGGAAUUCUCGGUGUAGCGGUGAAAUGCGUAGAUAUCGAGAGGAACACCUGCGGCGAAGGCGGGUUGCUGGGCUGACACUGACGCUGAUGUGCGAAAGCUAGGGGAGCGAACGGG
rnacentral:rRNA from 1 species